UACGUAGGGUGCGAGCGUUGUCCGGAAUUAUUGGGCGUAAAGAGCUCGUAGGCGGUCUGUCGCGUCGGUCGUGAAAACUUGGGGCUUGAACCCUCGAGGCUUGCGGUCGAUACGGGCAUGACUGGAGUUCGGCAGGGGAGACUGGAAUUCCUGGUGUAGCGGUGAAAUGCGCAGAUAUCAGGAAGAACACCCGUGGCGAAAGCGGCUCUCUGGGACGGUACUGACGGCUGAGACGCGAAAGCGUGGGGAGCGAACAGG
rnacentral:rRNA from 1 species